rnacentral:lncRNA from 1 species
AUGACUACAACUGAUGAAGUCCACCUGAAGGCUCUGAUGAUGUUGGGGCAGAUUUGCAGCCAACAACAGUGGGUAGCAGCACUUGCCUUUAAGAUCAGCAUGUACUGUUUGUCAGCAGAAUUAUGCAAUCUUCUGCCAGGGGCAACCCUCUGGAUAAUGGGAGCCGUGAUCUGGUCAUCAGGUCAUGCAAGUUCAAGAUACUGUUCCUGUAUUUCUGUCUCCUUGUGUGUAGAGUCUUCCGGACUUUCUUUAAGCUUGAGAGUGGCUGAACAAAGGAGGAGGGCUUGCCAGCGAGUGGCCCGUUCCCAUGCAAGCCAUGCUGUGCACCAGCAACGAGCUCCCCUUUGAACCCAGUGCCAAGCCAGACCAUGUGCGUGCACAGAGGAACAUCCAUUCCCAAUGUACUUGGGUUUUUGUUUCAGUUACCACAAAAAUGAGGAAUAAGACAUUUUUCUAAAUUUAUUUGCCUUUUUUUUUUUUUUUUUUUUUUUUGUCUAAAUAAGAAGUAUCAGAAAUUUUGUGGCAGAAAGAGAUGUUUUCUUGGGAGCUCACAUAUCUGGUGUGACUGUAGAUAAAAUACUGAACAGCAUGUAUAACCCUGGAACAUUAGCACUGAAUCCACAGGUAAUGAAUUUUGCUGUAGGCUGUUUUUCAAUUGUUGUUUUCACUCCUUGCUCUCAGAGUGUGCU